rnacentral:rRNA from 1 species
GGAAGUAAAAGUCGUAACAAGGUUUCCGUAGGUGAACCUGCGGAAGGAUCAUUAGUGAACGCCCUCACGGGCUUAUAACUAUUCCAAACCUCUGUGAACCGUGCCCUUCGGGGCUAUUUUACAAACAUGGUGUAAUGAACGUCAUAUAUCAUAACAAAACAAAACUUUCAACAACGGAUCUCUUGGCUCUCGCAUCGAUGAAGAACGCAGCGAAAUGCGAUAAGUAAUGUGAAUUGCAGAAUUCAGUGAAUCAUCGAAUCUUUGAACGCACCUUGCGCCCUCUGGUAUUCCGGAGGGCAUGCCUGUUUGAGUGUCAUGUAGACUCAAUCCCUCGGGUUUCCGAGGAGAUUGGACUUGGGUGUUGCCGCUCUGCCGGCUCGCCUUAAAAGACUUAGCGGGAUAGCACCGUAGUCGGCGUAAUAAGUUUCGUCGGUGAAGGUUGUGAUGACUGCUUACAAUCGCCCUCGGGCAAUUUUUGACUCUGACCUCAAAUCAGGUAGGACUACCCGCUGAACUUAAGCAUAUCAAUAAGCGGAGGA